rnacentral:tRNA from 1 species
ACCGAAAUAGCUUAGUUGGGAGAGCGUUAGACUAUACAUCGAAGGGUCCCUUUUUCGAUCCCGGGAUUCGGUA